rnacentral:rRNA from 1 species
GCUUACGGCCACACCACCCUGAGCACGCCCGCUCUCGUCUGAUCUCGGAAGCCAAGCAGGGUCGGGCCUGGUUAGUACUUGGAUGGGAGACCGCCUGGGAAUACCAGGUGCUGUAAGCCU